GUAUUAGCCUCCUUGUUCAUUCAACAAACAUUUAUUGCUGCUGGGUGAGGCCCUGACGUGCAGAGUGGGUGAGACUCGGGCCCUGCCUUCCAGGGGGACACGCAGGUGGGGCUGACAGGUGGGUACCGACAGCCGAGUGGAAGGGGUCAGGCGGGUUAUCCGCCAUGGCCCACGCAGCCCGGGGAACGCACCGAGGAAAUCAGCCUUAAAGACAGGGAGGGGGUUCCCUGAGUGUGGGGUGGGGCAGGGAUGAGGCCAGAGGGGAGACUCGUGCCUGGGGGAGGGUGUGCCUGGCAUCGGUUCACAAACAGCCUCCGUGUGGCCAGGCCACCUCCCUGUGGGCCGCGUCCAGGCAGCACCGCAGAAGCUGCAGAAAAUAUUGAGACAGUUCCAUUAGGUCACAGAGCCUGAGGCCCAGGCCGGGCUGCAGCCCUGAUUCACCAGGGGCAGGUGCCAGGAGGAACCUUCAGGAUGAGCAGCCGCCAGUCCCCUGGCCCAGCCCUAGCCCUAGCCCUGCAAAUGCCAGGCGGCCAGCCUCUCCAGGCACACCACACUCAGGACCCGG
rnacentral:lncRNA from 10 species